GAUGAAGAACGUAGUGAAAUGCGAUACUUGGUGUGAAUUGCAGAAUCCCGUGAACCAUCGAGUCUUUGAACGCAAGUUGCGCCCGAAGCCAUUAGGCCGCGGGCACGCCUGCCUGGGCGUCACACGUCGUUGCCCCCCCAUCUAAUCCUUCGGGAUUGCGGGGGGCGGAUGAUGGCCUCCCGUGCGCCUCGUCGCGCGGUUGGCAUAAAUGCCAAGUCCUCGGCGACGCACGCCACGACAAUCGGUGGUUGCGAAACCUCGGUUGCCCGUCGUGUGCGGUCGUCGCGCAUCGAGGGCUCGAAAAAAUUGCCGGGCUCCGGCUCGACUUUCAACGCGACCCCAGGUCAGGCGGGGUUACCCGCUGAAUUUAAGCAUAUCAAUAAGCGGAGGA
rnacentral:misc_RNA from 1 species